GGAGAAGCAUAAGAUGGAAAGCUAGAUUUAAGAAACUGCCAUUGGCACAUGCCAAAGAAUUUUGGAGAAAGUAUUCUAGAAGUCAGGGGGUAGAGAAGGAAGGGUUAAAUGAUAGAUAACUGACACUUGGUCUUGGUCUUGGACUGGGACUUGGUCCUUGGUCUUAGUCUUGAACUUUUACUUUGAUCCUGGUCUUGCCAAAACAGAAGGAGGAAGAGCUGCUUCUAGGAGUGUUUCCGAUUUCAAGUCUUUGGAGAACAAAGGACAACCCUUCAAUCCUUCCUUGUGCUUCCUUAUCAGCUGGAGGGCAGUUUGGAGCAGAUUUGGUUAUCCCUGCUGUCUUCCUUCUCUUCUCCAGAGUAAACAGCAAUAGUGCCUUAAAAGGUCUGGGUCACCUUUUCUGACACUAAAAUGACAUCUCUUCACCCAGGGUGCACACGGACAGAAUCAGACCAGAAUCUGAGUUGGAAGAGAAUUUAGAAGAGCAAUCUGUCUGAAAAGUGCCAGCUGAUAGGACGCUGGAGACCACUACUUCUUAUGAGAAGCCUUUCCUGACCCUCUGAAAUGAAUAGGGAUAUUGCUAUGGAGUUGCUAUGGGAAAACUAUAUCCACCUUUCUUUUCUCUUGGAGUUUCUGUAUGAUAUGCCUAGACCUGGCAUUUUUUCCAGUGGCACAAGAUCAGCAUUCUUGAACAGAGAACUAAAAAUGAAUUUUCCAAUUCAAGUGACAAAACAAAAGACCUGGAAUGUUACCCUUCUCUUAAUAAUUGUAGUCGUUCUAAUGGUGGGGAUUUGAUAGACUGAAUACAUGGGUCUCUGUGGAGGAUUCGCUGGUAUGUGGUUUAACAACUCAAUUCUCAAGAGGCAGCAUUUCUUAAUUUUUAAUUUUGUUUAUUAAUCAGUUGUUCAAGAAAAUUUAAACUAGCCUGUAGAUUCCCUCCAUAAUCUGAAUGGACAUCAAAGAACUCAAGCAGGGCAAGAGAGCAACCGGACAGCCAAAGAGAGGGGCAAAAGAGACUGAGUUCCAAGGUGCAGGCCAAUAUAAUGCCCUUGAGAUUUCACCACUCAAUUUUUCUCCAAAACAUUUAUGAUUGGAAAAUUGUUAUUGAUAAGGUGGACCUCAAUAACCCAACUCCUCCUCCCUUCAUCACAGGAAGAGAUGGGCCUUAAGGACACCAAGAAGCCCUUUACUUCCCCCACAUGUCUCAGUCAAGGAUGCCUAAGACAUGGUGGCAAGAACUUGCUGACUUAAUUUAAUCUUUCAAAUGAGUCACAUGGCUGUUUGGCCCUGCCCCAAAUCCUGUUAUCCUCAACAAAGAUCUCAAGAAAAGGGAGCGCCCAAUCCAGUUUCUUAUCUUGAGCAAGAAACUGUUUGUAGCUUCAACUUAGAAUCAGAUGGUUUUUCAGCAUGGAGUGGAGUUAAAGAGAAAAUUAUUUCACAAAAAAAUCCCAAUUUAAUAAUAAUUUUCUACAGUGGGAAUACUGCUUUUUAGCAGUCAUACAUUUAAGUUCUUCAGAAUGUUAUGCAUCCCCCAGAGAAGUGCGAUUGAUGUAGAAAAAUUCAACAGAGAGG
rnacentral:lncRNA from 1 species